UUGAUCUAAAACAAAAUCUCAUAUCUUAACCAAAAAACAAGAUAAGCCACAUAUACAACCACUAUAUCAAUCACUAAUAACUAACUUUGAAGUCCCCUGCUCCGAAUUUUAUUUUUUGAUCUAAUGUACAAUAGUUUUUAAAAACGAAGCGAGCAACAGAGGUUUAAUUCCAUCAAUAUAAUUCAGCCAACCUUCCAAAUUUCAUGAGCCAAGAUGGACUGACUAGUUAAUCACCAACCGGUAUUCACUCAAAUCAAAUAAAACAAACCUAGAACAAUGAAUCAUUGAAGGUAGACAAUCAAAAUAUGAUAUACAAAUCAGAAGGAAACAUGGUGAAAGAGCAGCAAUGUAAACAACGGUUAAGAAAAUGAUGAACCUUUUAUAGAUGAAGAUCUUCUAUUGCUGAAAUUUUUCAAUGUUUACAACGAAGAGGAGCUUCAAAUUAGCAUACGAAAUCAAUCGUGACCAGGACCUAUACCACGAACCUUCACCGAUGAAUUUCAACCACAACCUCGACUCGAACGGACCUCUCAAGUAUAGUAUAAUCUGGUUUGAGCCAAAAGAAGAUGGAAACGGAAUUUCUCCCCAGAUCUCCUCUCUUUGUUCUCUCGUGCUAUUUCCCUAUCGUAUGUGGGGGGUGGGGGGUGGGUGGGUUGAAGAUCUCAAAAUGAGGGGGACGACUGCUGCCUUGGAACUAGGCUGGUGGACUUUCGUUCUUGAUGAAGGGAGAUGCGGUCAGCUUUCUUUAUCUUAGGAUCUUUGGAUUUUACCUUGAAGAGAUUUUUAAUUUUUUUUUGAAGAUCUGAAGGGGGAGGGGUGAGUCUUGGAGAUUGUUUUUUCAGAGGUGUGUGCGGCCGUUCUAAC
rnacentral:lncRNA from 1 species